AUUAAAUCUAUUCAUCUAAACAAUAAAUAUGUAUAGGUGUUGUUCAGUUGAUUUUUUUUUUUAAAGAAUGGCUCAAGCAUACGAAUUAAUUUUAUUUUAACAUUUACACAGUAGUUCUAGCCACAAAAUAUUCUUGUUGGAUUUGGAACAAUGAAGUUAGCCGAAUUCGUUAAAGAUGGACUAGAGUAAUAUGAAUACUGUCUGUUUAGUCUGUGAGAUGAAUGACUUGUUUUUGAGAGUCAAAGUUUAGUCAAUUCCAAUCUCAUUUAUUUAAUCCCUGGUGUAGUACGUUUGAGAAAAAAAUCAGCUUUGCAAAACUAUUCUAUAUCUUGAAUCUUUAAUCUUGAAUUAUUUCCUAAUAACUAGUCUAAUAAAUGAUCCGUCCCAGACAAAUAAGCCAUAUAGGUUAUAUCAGCUACAUCCAUAUACCGAAUAUUCAAUUUGAAGUAGUAUCGUCGUCAUGAACACAUCAUCUACAUCUGUAUCAUCUACAGUGAGAUUUGAGAUUCACUGCGAACUGUCAGAGUUGUUUGAAUGGUGUUUUCGCUAUAGGGAGGGAAACCUAUAGUUAACCCAUAGUUAACAGAGCCAUUAGUUAACAACUCGCCCAUAAAUAGAUGUUCGUUGCAGAGUCGUUUGCCAGACCCUUUUUAACUAAGGCACUUAUUAAGUCACACUGCUGCUCAUACCACUUUUUGCGUGGUAUGCUUCUAUCCAACUAAUGUAUUGGUAACGGGGAGGGAAUCACUGUGAACAGUUCUUCCAAACCACCAGUCGGAUGACGUCACAACAUGGUGCUUGUUUAUUACAACACUGCUGUCUGCGCUGCUUAUUGUGUUGUUGAUGUUUGGAGGUUACGAAUCGAAAUCGUAAACUGCAGACUAAUUUGUAAUAUUAUUUUAAGUUAAGUUAGUUUGAAUUUUUGAUAGCUAAAUGAAUGAAUUAAGCAAAAUAAGAUUAGAGGUAGAAGUAAAAUGAGUGACUGGUGUAUCUAUUAUUGUAUAAUAUUAACAAAAAAAAAACCAAAAUAAUAUUAACAAAAACAAAAAAAUUUACCAGAAUUUUUUUAUUGCCUUCUGGCAUUUUUAUUUAUCUUGGAAGCAAAGCAGCCAGUUUACAAGAUACAUUUCUAAUGAUUCUGCAUACGGUGCUUAUUAUUAAAAUCAAUAAUAAUUGAUUAAAUUAUACAAUUUAUUGAAAAUUGUAUUACAUCUUCGUCCAAGCUACUCAAAAAGUCAAUGAUAUUCCAAUCUGUUUAUUUACACUCUAUCUACUGUUUCAAAUAGUUAACGUUAUUAUAAUGUAAUCAACUAUUAAGUAUGAUCAUUUUCGUCUGUCUUUUAACAUGCAAACAAGUCAACAUAACCUUAAAAUACACUUGGCGCGAAUGUAUAGUGGAUUUAUAAGCACGAUUUUGAGCAUUUAAAUUAAGAGCACAUUUAGUUAUUGGUAACCUCAAAUGACGUCAUCUGCCUGUAGGGUUUUCGUCUCUGCAACGGAAAAACCUGUUUGUUGGCGCGUUAUUACCUAUCGGCAGAGCAAUAGCUUACAGAACGUCUCUGCAACGAAAUUGGCCUGUUAAAUAGUUAAGUCCGCGCUGUUAACUAUGGGCGACGUUAUUUGUCGACUCUGCAACUGGGCAUGAAUCUGUCUACAGUGAGUUGAAGUUGAAGUUUAGUGAGUGAGUUGCCUGAUGGGUUCUUUCCAUCCUUGAAGUGGUCAGACGACAAAGAUGUCAGGUUUGGGGGUUCAUAGACUCUCGGGGGGUGAAUGAUAUCUGGUGGGGGGUGGGGAGGCGUCUCGACGCCUAGCUUGGCCGUCGGCCAGACCAGAGCAGCACUGCUUUGUUGGGAAUUUGCAGACUGUGGACUGAGAUCGAGACCCCACCGACUUCUCAUUGACAUCCAAUCCUUUCUGUACCAGACCACCAAAUCGGGAAGAGCAUAGUGGUGUCACCGAAAUUGCGAGAUACCGUUUAAAAUAGUGGCAGAGCAACAGAGCACAGAUAUCUGAGCGUCCGCAGAGUUUGUAUUCACAUCAAAAAACAUCUGUGGGCCGACAGAGCUUUUCGCUCUGAUAGCAAUGAAGAUUAUACUUAUCAACAGCUGUGACCGAGAAAAAAGCACCGUUCUAUACGGCAUAUUUUGGAAGAGUCAUUUAUUGAAAAUUAUGAUUCAUUGCAAAUAAUUUGUAAAUUGUUUGUAGUCAACCAUCAGAUUUAGAGGUUACAACUUUGUUUAUGUUAGUGAACAGCUGUUUUGAAUGCAGUCUAGAAAUUAGUCAAAAUGAAUUAUUUGUACUGCUGAACUUACAUUUCAAACCGAUGAUAUAAUUACUUCUAAAAACCAAUAAUUAUCAUUGUAAUAAGGAUAAGAGUUUCAAAAUAAAAAUAUAUUUAUUAUUGUUAAAAUAAUUUAUUAAUGGAAAUAUACAACAUGUUAGAUAUUAUAAAAGCGAGCAUGGUAAUGAUACAAGCAUUAACAUUGAUAAGAAUUAUAAUAUUCAUUUUAUUUUAUUUAUUAAUGUAAUAAGAAUCUCUCGUAUGAAAUAUUAAUAUUGUAUAGUAAUUAUUAUAGAAUCAACCGCAUGGACUGAUGUAAAAAUCUCUGUAUGCCAAUCAUAGGUCAGAAAAAUUACACCAAAAAGGGAUGAUAUUCAAACAUGAUAUUCUAUUUUUGUUAUCAGCAACUAGAAAUGACCUUAUCAUAUGCAGUAACACAUUGUAUGUUGAAUAAGGAGAAAUAUGAAGAGAAUUUAAUCACUAAUAAAAGGCAGAAAAUUUAAGUUUAUUUAUUGUAAAGCAAGAACUAUUCUCUUACUCAUCUCUGACAUGAUGUAUACGUCAUACUAUUUCCACCAAUAGCAAAAUUCUAUGCAAAUUAAGUAAGACGGAACUGCUCCGCAAGAGUUUUUUCGAGAAGAGAGACACUACUUCCCUUUCAACGCCUUCACUGUAAAGACCUUGUUCUCAAAAGUUAUCAUUUUUCUAGUGAGAUUCUUAUUUGUUAAAUUUAUGUAAUUUUAAUGUUAGCCUAGAUCUGAGGCAAUAUUAUUCGUUAUAUUUGUAGAAUUAUUCUAUCAAUUGAUUACCUCCACGAAUCUAAAUUUUAUUAUUCAUUUUGUAUUAGUGAAGGAAAUAAUUAAUUUAUAAAGAAAAUCUCCCAUAAGCUGAAGAUUGAAGUUUGGACGAACCACCGAAUCGAAAUUAAUUCAAAGAAACUACCAUACCAAGAAGGAUCACGUGAGUUUUCUUUUUAUUUUUUGGGGCCCCACCCUUCGCUUCGAAAAGUACAGAAACUACAGUACCAAGAAGGAUCACGUGAGUUUUCUUUUUAUUUUUUGGGGCCCCCCUUCGCUUCGAAAAGUACAGAAAUUACUGCAAAUUUUUCUUCGCUAAUUAUUAAUGGCCACGUCGAAAGCGCAAAUAGCUUAAGUGCUUAAUUAUAAGAUCCGAAUUAUAAUUGUAAGUUUUGUGGUCGUUUAACUGUCCUUAUCUGCCUGAACCACGACCCUGAUUAAAUUUCACAUUGUAAUAUUUUCGUGUAAUAUAAUCAUUGCAUGAUAGCCCAGCAUCAUAGCACUAAUUCAGAUAAGCCUGUCAGCAGAAAAUUAUUCAAAACCUGUUAUCAAAUCAUGAAAUUGUACUGUUUAUUAAUUAUUAUUACUGCUCAUUAUAAUUAUUUCAAAUUUAAUACUUUA